rnacentral:tRNA from 1 species
GCGGAUGUAGCUCAGUUGGAAUGAGUAUCACCUUGAUAAGGUGAGGGUCGCAGGGUUCGAAUCCUUGCCAUCCGCUCCA